GCAACAGUAGGUAUUAAUAAGUAGAAGUGUAAAAUCAAGGAAUAACGUUCCCUGGGUAAAACUGAACUGAACCCAAGUGAAGGACGUUCCCUGGGUAAAACUGAACUGAGCCCAACACUUACCUAGACUUUUAACAAGCUCUAGCUGAUGUUAUUAAGGAUUUCAGUGUCCCAUUUUGACUUUUAACAGGCUCUAAGUGAUCUUGCUAAGGUUUUCAGUGCCCUGCUUUGACUUUUUACAGGCUCCAGUUGAUGGUUCGGGUUUUUUUCAGCGUCUUAUUUCAACUUUUAACAGGGUCUAGGUGAUGUUACUGGGGUUUUUAGUCCUUUAUCUUUUAACAGCUUAUUGGGGUUUUCAAUGCCUCGUUCAGACUUUUAACAAUGUCCAGUAGAUGUUUAUGAGGUUUUGUAUAUUUUAUUUUGAGUUUUAACAGUGUCUAGUAGAUAUUAUUGCUUUUUUUUUAGUGCCUUAUGAUAAACGAGUACUUGAAACUAAGCACAUUCCAGUCGCCACAUCCCACCAGCUCCGUUCCCCGUACAACAAUAGGUAUUAAUAGAUAUGCGGGUAAAACUUAACUGUGCCCAACACUUAUCUUGACCUUUAACAGUGUCCAGUUGAUGUUGUUGUGGUUCUGGGUGUUGUUGUGGUUCUUGGUGUUGUUGUGGUUCUUGGUGUUGUGUGGUUCUUGGUGUUGUUGUGGUUCUUGGUGUUCUGUCUUGAGGUUUUAAAGUGGUUUAGUCAUUGCUAUUUGUUUUUUUUAGAUGUUAUUGUGGUCAUGACACACUACAGUCAUGACAACACUAACUACCACUACAGUCAUGACAACAUUAACUACCACUACAAUCAUGACAACACUCUUGAAAAGCCUCAAUAAAAUCAAACAGAGCGGUGGUUCAUUUUCCAAACUAGGUGCAAUCCUAGUUUGGCGACUCGGAAUAUGUGCACAGGUACAGUGUUAGUCACCAGUCACUUCGAUGUUAUACUUGUCAUGUACGAUAGUUUGGGAACCAGUGGGUUUACGUGUUUUUAAAUGUGUUUGCAUGUUGUUUAGUGACAGAUUAACAAGGAUUCUAUGGUGUCAAUGGGGGAGAACGUUCUGUGUGAUCUGUGUAGCUUUUAAAAAUAGUCGUGAUUAAAGAACAAAGGCGAUUUAAGAACCCGGUUAAUCAUUUUUUUUUUUUUUUCUAAAUGGUCGUGAAGAGAGAACAGAAUGCUUAAGAAUCCUGGCAAAUCACCUCUGUGGCCUUCGACAAUAAUCGUGAUGAGAGAACAAAGCGUUAAGAAUCGUGUCCGCUGUGUCCAGAACUCUGCUCGACGCACGAAGAGACGCGUCACACACACGCCGGCAACACGUGAUGCGCCUUUCAUGGCCCCGCUUCAUAGUGGGUGACGGGCGUGCCGGGAACAAGAUCAAUUGGCCAGAGUCAACUUGUGGUUUUUAACUUCAUGUGAUUUACCGCAUGAAAGGUACAGAGAGGCCGUUUAGUUCUGAGUGUGAUUUACUGCAUGAAAGCAACUAAGAAGCAGAACAAAACACUUUUUAUGUUAUACGAAUUACUUCGGAAUACUCUGACGUCCAGUAUUGCAUAAUGUGGUGAUGGUGAAUGGGAGUGUCUGGAGUGUGAAGUGUGGGGCGCCUCGCUAUCAUAUCGCCCGUAUCCGGCUAACUCAUUGCAUCCUCUCAUCCGUGCAUGAAGCUGAACAGACGUUUGGUCACAGUGAACACUUUACGUACGAGAGGUUCUGGCAAAGGAAUACGAAAAAAGAGGUAGAAAAAAAAAGACCAGACAAAAGGUACCAGACACGAAAGGAAAGGGCCAAAAUGAUUAUCCAUAAUUGGAGUCUUGACACAUUGCUCUUCAGAUGGUGAUAUCACAAGACCACUGACUCGGCAGGAAACGGAGGCCAGCACUCAGCACCACGGCGAAGUGAUGCCAGCCGCCGCAGCAACAGCCUUGAAUAGCACACUUGAGCCCCACACGCCUUACAAUCACUGCUGGCUACAAUGGAAUAAAUAAAUAUAGAUGAGAAUA